UACGAAGGGGGGCUAGCGUUGCUCGGAAUCACUGGGCGUAAAGCGCACGUAGGCGGAUCCUUAAGUCGGGGGUGAAAUCCUGGAGCUCAACUCCAGAACUGCCUUCGAUACUGAGGAUCUCGAGUCCGGGAGAGGUGAGUGGAACUGCGAGUGUAGAGGUGAAAUUCGUAGAUAUUCGCAAGAACACCAGUGGCGAAGGCGGCUUACUGGUCCGGUUCUGACGCUGAGGCGCGAAAGCGUGGGGAGCAAACAGG
rnacentral:rRNA from 1 species